AUGGCUGCGACCGUGAGGGGCAGCGUUGGGGAGAUCCGGGCGGGCGACGUGGAGGCGGCCGGGCUCACGGCGGCCGACGCGGGGGCCUUUCUCGCCGCACUCCGCUCAGCGACCGGCAAAUGCCGCACCGACGCUGCCGCUGCGUGGGCGGCGGUCGUGGCGGCCGGGGUGCUACGGCCGGACCACCCGCACGCGCUCCACCAGCUGGUGUACUACUCCAUCUACGCCGGCUGGGACCGCGCCCAGAGAGGCCCGCCGCCCUACUGGUUCCCCUCCCCGACUGAUUGUAAGCAAACAAAUCUUGGGAGAGUGAUGGAAGAGAAUGGUCCCAAGCUGUUAGGAGCAUCAUAUAAGGAUCCAAUUUCAAGCUUUGGCCUCUUCCACAGAUUCUCUGUUCAGAAUCAGGAGGUCUACUGGAAACUGGUGCUGAAGGAGCUCUCCGUCAAGUUCGUACGAGAACCAAAGACGAUUCUAGAUGCGUCAGAUAAAUCAAAGAAGGGAUGGUCAUGGUUCCCCGGUGCAGUGCUCAACAUUGCCGAAUGUUGUCUGCUACCUUGGCCUUCCCAGAACAGGACAGAUGAUAGCAUGGCUAUUGUCUGGGGGGAUGAGGGCUUUGGUGAUUAUCCAGUGAAUCAUAUGUCGUUGAAGGAGCUUCGCACCCAAGUGAUGACUGUUGCAAUUGCCCUUGAUACCAUGUUCCGAAAGGGUGACCGGAUUGCAAUAGACAUGCCAAUGACGUGCAAUGCGGUCAUUGUUUAUUUGGCAAUCAUCCUUGGAGGCUUUGUAGUUGUGGGAAUAGCAGACAGUUUUGCACCCCAGGAGAUUGGCAAUCGCAUGAGGGUCGCAAAAGCAAAGGCAAUUUUUACUCAGGAUUUCAUAAUUAGGGGAGGGAAGAAAUUUCCACUUUACAGCCGUGUCAUGGAAGGGACUUCAGCUAAAGCUAUUGUAAUUCCUGCAACUGGAGAUAGUCUUGGAGUUACACCAAGGAAUGGUGAUAUGUCCUGGAAAGAUUUUCUUUCUCGUGCUGCUGGGAGGUCAUCCAUGUACUCUCCAGUUUAUCAAUCUGCAGACGCCUUAAUUAAUAUACUGUUUUCAUCAGGAACAACUGGAGAGCCAAAAGUUAUACCGUGGACACAACUUUGUCCCAUAAGAUGUGCAGCUGAUACCUGGGCACAUUUGGAUCUUCGACCAAAGGAUGUAGACUUGUGGCCUACAAAUCUGGGUUGGGUUAUGGGACCUAUACAAAUAUUCUCAUGCUUUCUAAAUGGUGCAACAUUGGCCUUAUAUCAUGGAUCUCCACUUGGACGUGGUUUCUGCAAAUUUGUGCAGGAUGUCCGUGUGAGUGUAUUAGGAUCUGUGCCCAGCUUGGUGAAGUCUUGGAAGGCAGGGAAUCUUACUAAAGGUCUAGACUGGACCAAAAUCAGGGUACUUGCUACAAUAGGGGAGGCUUCUGAUAUUGAUGAUAAUCUGUGGCUAUCUUCGCGUACCUGUUACAAGCCCAUUGUUGAGUGCUCUUUUGGAGCUUUCAGUGGUCCAUCAAUGUCCACUGGGUUUGUCAUACUCGAUGAACAGGGAAAUCCAUAUCCUGAUGAUCUACCUUGUUCUGGAGAAGUGGGUCUCUUCCCUUUGUAUUUUGGUGCUACCAAUCGGCUUCUCAAUGCUGACCACGAUAAUGUUUACUUUGAUGGAAUGCCCAUUUACAAAGGACGGCAACUCCAACGACAUGGAGAUAUAAUCCAGAGGACAGUAGGUGGUUACUAUUUCGUACAGGGCAGAGCAGAUGACACUAUGAAUCUUGGAGGGAUUAAGACAAGUUCAGUGGAGAUCGAACGGGUUUGUAAUGGAGCCGAUGAGGGUCUGCUAGAAACAGCAGCUGUUAGCAUCAAACCUUCUGGCGGGGGACCAGAACAACUGGCUAUAUUGGCAGUGCUAAAAGAUGGAUCCACAACAGGCGAUGCAAAUCUUCUGAAGAGCAAGUUCCAGAGAGCCAUUCAGAAGAACCUCAAUCCCCUUUUCAAGGUGAGCUACGUCAAAAUCGUCCCCGAGUUCCCGAGAACUGCUUCAAACAACCUGCUGAGAAGGGUCCUGAGGGAUCAGCUCAAGAAAGAACUCGCGAAUCGCAGCAAGCUAUAA
rnacentral:rRNA from 1 species